AUUAUUUAAUGGCCGCAGUAUUUUGACUGUGCAAAGGUAGCAUAAUCAUUAGUUUCUUAAAUGGGAUCUUGUAUGAAGGGUUAAAUGAGAAGGGAGCUGUCUCUAAUUAAAAUAUAAAAUUUUAUUUUUAAGUAAAAAAGCUUAAAUUUUUAUAAAAGACGAUAAGACCCUAUAGAGUUUUAUAGUUUGAUUUUUAAUAGGCUUUUAGGAUUAAAAUUAGAGUCAAUUUAUUUGAUUGGGGUGAUUAUAAAAUUAAGGAAACUUUUAUAGUGGUUUACAUAGAUUUAUGGGAAAAGUAGAUGAUCCAAUUAUUUUGAUUAAAAGAUUAAAUUACCUUAGGGAUAACAGCGUAAUUUUUUUUAAGAGCUCUAAUCAAUAAAGAAGAUUGCGACCUCGAUGUUGGAUUAAAAUUAAACCUCGGUGCAGAAGCUGAGGGUUU
rnacentral:rRNA from 1 species